rnacentral:ncRNA from 1 species
GAGGUUAAUGACCAAGUGCCCGUAUCGGUGAAAACAGGCAGAUCGUAAAGACGCCGUAAAUACAUCCUUGUAGGCUCGAACCGCGCCUUCCCUGGCGCGGACGCUUU